CUCCGAGAGACCACGGGGACGAGCGGGGAGGAGAGCAGCGCAGCUUCAUGCUGCACCGAGAAGGGGGCGGGGGGGGGAGGGAGCGGGGGGGAGAAAACCCCAAUUCCCCCAACGCUGCCUCUCCGCGGCCCUGAAAUCCACGUGAACGGGUUAAUGGGAACUCCCCGGGCCCGUCCCACGGCACCUCCCGCGGGUGCGGAGCGCUGACUCACACUUUCCAGCGCUGCGGCGCUCCGCGGGGGGGAGCGGUGGCACUGAGCGCCCGGGGCCGUUCUCACGUGUGCGUGGGGCACGGAACGGCGCUUCGGCAGAACCGGGGGUUGUCGGGUUGUUUGGCAGCGACCUACCGGUAUCUGAUGGGUUGUUGGGGAAGGGCUCGGGGCGCAACCCGGAGUUGGAGGCGCAGAGGAAAACAAACCCAAACCAGACCUGAUGCAACCCAGGGCAAGCACUGGGAUCUCAGGCUGUGUAGAACAGAAAUGCGUUCAUCUGAAUCCAGUGCCAAAAUCUUCUCAUCAGUACAAACCAGGACGAGAGCAGCUCAGAAGCACAGAUAGCACAGAGAUGGACAUUCACACUUUUCUCCCUUAGAAAAACACACAGUGAUCCAAAACGCAUCCUGACCAGGACAUUUCCUUGCUGUCUACAGCAGGCUGUGUGCAAAGAGACAUUUGGGGUUAUCAUGGCGCAGCACAACGCAGCCAGGGAGAAGCUGUGGAUGCCCAAUGGGAGCUGUUGGCUUCUGGCUUUGCUGGGGACUUAUUUCCUACAUGGGUCCUAUGUGGGACUCAACAAUGAAAUGCAGAUGCUGAUUCCUCCUAAUUCACCAGAGCUCCCAGGGUCUGUCCUGAUGCCAUUGACAGAGAUUUUCAAUGUACUUUUGCACUCACAACCUUAUAAAAUGGGGCAUGGGGGCGGAGAAGAUGAAGACAGGCUGCCCAGAGCUGCGGGUGCCCCAUCCCCACAGUGCCUGAGGCCACAGAUGGGUGCUGGGCAGCCUGAGCUGUGGGGGCAGCCACCCAUGGCAAGGGGUGGGCAUUCGGGGCUUUGAGAUUCCCUCCCACCCAACCAUUCCACGAUUCUGUGAUUCUCUGAAGACGUGGGCACAGCUCAAGGCCCUGCAGUGAAAGCACUUCUGGGGUUUCCAAGCCCAAGGGAGCUCAAAGCAUCUCCCUCGGCCUCACUUUUCACAGGCAGCACAGCAGAGCCAGCCAUAAGACGUCUGUCCUGUCCCGGCUGCGGGAGCCUGGCACUAUCACAUCAACCAGAUGCUCUGUUCCAAUAGGAAGGGAAUUGCAGCCUCCCUCGUCCACCAGGGGAUCCAUCGCAAACCCUCACCACCCAUAACAAACACAGGGGUUUGGCCUUUUUAUCAGCAUUUGUUCAGCAGCCUGUGGAGACAGUCUGCCUCGCCGGACUCCUUUCCAGGCAGAUAACGCCCAGUUCUGACAGCGCCCUGUGCUGUUGUUUUGGCUCAGAGUUGGGGAAUUGCCCUUUUCGAGCCGGGUCUGUCCGAGGAAGAAAAGCAGCCGACGUCACUGAGUGAUGUGCCAAGCGCAGCACCCUUAAAAAAUAGCUCUCUCCCCAUCCCUAUCCAUAUCUACCCAUUGCAUUUGCAAACGCCAAACUGGAAGCUCCCCGGGAGGGGAGGAUUAAACCGGGAUUAUUGCAUUCAGAGCCGGUUCGGAAAAGAGGGAGUAGGGGUGGAUAUAUAUAUAUCUAUAUCUAUAUCAAAAUGGCUUUAAUUAACUGCGGAGGGUUUGUUGUGUCCGGCGGUGCUCUCCUAGCAGCGGGAGCUAAAUGUGCCGCGGGCAGGACGGGAGGAAGGCUAGGUUGAGGAAGACAUCAAAGCAGAUCUGAGAAAGGUCAGAUAUAAAUGGCAACCUGUCCGCUUUGCGAGGGUUCGCUCUUCUAUUUACGAUGGUGUUUUCUGGGAAGAGCCGCUCGGAGCCAACUGGGGCAGGCUUGUAAAAAGAUAAUUUUUCUCCCUUAGAAAACACACAGGCAGACAGACAGACAGACGGGGCUUCUGGCUCUUCUCCCUCCCCGGGAUCUGCUGCCCUGGGCAAUUUGUUCUGUUGCAGCAGCCCUGUGACCGGCGUCUGGGCUGCUCAGAGCAGACGCCGGCGCUCCGGCAAAGAGCUGCUCACCGCAGCGUGGGGAAAUGUUUUCUGCAGUGGUGCAGCAGCGUCUUAAAGAGCAGCACUGUUAUUUCGCAGUCGUCUCCAAUAAUAACCCGGCGAGAGCAGCCACAAAGCACAGGAGCGAAGCUGCUGCCGCCGACUGAAAGUUUAAGGAAGGAGGAACAGAAGUGGGAAGAGAAUAGAAAUAGGGACUGAGUCAUGGGCUGAAGGCAGCGAGGGCACAAAAAGGCUUCCAGAGAGUGUCUGUGGGACGGUGCAGUCCGGAGCCUCCCCAGAUGUCUGCAGCCUCAAAAUGGGGAUGUGAGAAUCAUUGGGGCAGAAGGGAGAGUGUCUGCUCUGCUCUGCAUCUGGACCAGGGGCGCUCAUUGCUGAAAUGCACAAGUGCAGCUCUUUUGGUGCUGAAACUCUCUUUGAGUGUGGCUGCAUCGGGACCUGCAGGGUUUGCGUGUGCAGAAGGGCACGGUGGGGUGGGGGCUGCAGAGGUGUCCACAGCUCCCCAGCAGCCCAUCCCAUCACGAGCCAGGAUGCGAAUGAGCAGGUGGAGUGCUGGAGCUGGCUGUGAUGCCUGAUGGAACCCAACUGCGUGUGUUGUCAGUGGGGAUCAGCUCCUUGUAUUAUCUAAUGAGUGAGUGGUGACGGACCUACGCCAGUCAGAUCAUAGAAUCAUGGAAUUGUUUGAGUAGGAAGGGACCUUUAAAGGCCACCUGGUCCAUCUCCCCUGCAGUGAACUGGGACACCCACUGCUCCAUCAGGUGCUCAGAACCCGUCCAGCCGACUCUGAACAGAGUGAGCUGAGCUGAGGGUGCAGAGGUGCAGAACACCUUGGGGUCCCCGCAGCCAUUGUCCCACUUUCUAAGGGACUGUGUCACUCUGCCCUGAGUUCCACCCAGCCCUGGGGCAAAGGAUGGCUGCUGUUGAACAGCAUCUACCAGCAAGAGUCAUUUGGGAGGAAAGAGAAUAUACCACACUGCACAAAAAUCAUUGGUCUCCAAAGCCAGGUUAGGGCAUCGCUGUCCUCCUCCAACUCCCCUCGCUGUGACACGGGCUGGGUGACAGUGACAGUGACACCAACAGCCCCACUAUUAAACAUAUAGGACCGGGGGAUGGCACGCACCAUCCUACUGCCCAUUAUUGAUACCACCAUUAGCCCAACAACAAAGGUCUCUCUUGAAGCCAUAAAGCAAGGGCGGCAUGUUUAUGAGCUGAGGUUUCCUCC
rnacentral:lncRNA from 1 species